GACGAACGCUGGCGGCGUGCUUAACACAUGCAAGUCGAACGGGCCUUGUCCCCUUUUUUUUUGGGGGUGGGGUUAGUGGCGAACGGGUGAGUAACACGUGAGUAACCUGCCCCUCACUUCUGGAUAGCCGCUUGAAAGGGUGGCUAAUACGGGGUGUUCUGGCCUGCUCGCAUGGGUGGGUUUGGAAAGAUUCGACCGGUUUUGGUUGUUUUGGUGGGGGAUGGGCUCGCGGCCUAUCAGCUUGUUGGUGGGGUGAUGGCCUGCCAAGGCUUUGACGGGUAGCCGGCCUGAGAGGGUGGGCGGUCACACUGGGACUGAGACACGGCCCAGACUCCUACGGGAGGCAGCAGUGGGGAAUAUUGCACAAUGGGCGCAAGCCUGAUGCAGCGACGCCGCGUGAGGGAUGGAGGCCUUCGGGUUGUGAACCUCUUUCGCCAGUGAAGAAGGUCCUGCUCUUUGUGGUGGGGUUGACGGUAGCUGGGUUAAUGAAGCGCCGGCUAACUACGUG
rnacentral:rRNA from 1 species